UCCGUAGGUGAACCUGCGGAAGGAUCAUUACCGAGAGCGCCCCUCCCGUACCGAAAGGUCCGGGCGGCGGCUGGGCAUUCUCACACCCUUUUUUAUGCGCACCUUUUGUUCUUCCUCGGCGGGGCGACCCGCCGACGGAACACACAUCAACCCUUUUGCAUGCAGUAUUACUUGUUCUGAUACCCUAAAUCGUUACAACUUUCAACAAUGGAUCUCUUGGCUCUGGCAUCGAUGAAGAACGCAGCGAAAUGCGAUAAGUAGUGUGAAUUGCAGAAUUCAGUGAAUCAUCGAAUCUUUGAACGCACAUUGCGCCCCUUGGUAUUCCAUGGGGCAUGCCUGUUCGAGCGUCAUCUACACCCUCAAGCACUGCUUGGUGAUGGGCGUCUGUCCCGCCUUCGCGCGCGGACUCGCCCCAAAGGCAUUGGCAGCGGUUCCGAUCGCCCUCUCGCGCAGCACAUUUGCGCUUCUCGAGGCGUCGGCUUCGCGUCCACGAAGCCCUUUUUUACCAUUUUUGACCUCGGAUCAGGAGGGAUACCCGCUGAACUUAA
rnacentral:rRNA from 1 species